UCUCUGUGAUGAUCAACAAUUGAUGACGAGUCUGAAUUUUCCAUUCUUAACCCUGAUGACAUAACGAGGCAUUUGUCUGAGAGGA